UGCAGAAUCCCGUGAACCAUCGAGUCUUUGAACGCAAGUUGCGCCCCAAGCCGCCAGGCCGAGGGCACGCCUGCCUGGGCGUCACGCAACGUCGCCCCCACCACCCCUCGUGGAUGGACGGGAGCGGAUAUUGGCCUCCCGCGUGCAUUGCUCGCGGCUGGCCUAAAAUCGAGUCCCCUGCGCCGAGCGCUCGGGCGAGCGGUGGUCUUUAUCGUCCUCGUCACGCGCCCGUGCGUCCUCGCGCGCAAUAAACGAGGGAUCUCUCGGACCCCGAACGUGCCGUCCCCCGGGACGGACUCGCUUCGCGACCCCAGGUCAGGCGGGACUACCCGCUGAGUUUAAGCAUAUCAAUAAGCGGAGGAAAAGAAACUUACCAGGAUUCCCCUAGUAACGGCGAGCGAACCGGGAACAGCCCAGCUUGAAAAUCGGGCGCCCUCGGGCGUCCGA
rnacentral:rRNA from 1 species